rnacentral:ncRNA from 2 species
UGACGCGUGGCGGGAGAAUUCCGUCCUAGCCAAGUGCGGGUGCCGUAGGAGCAAUUUCCUCCCCAGGAAACUCUCAGGCCCCCGUACCGCCACGAACAA